rnacentral:rRNA from 1 species
CUAACAAGGAUUCCCCUAGUAACUGCGAGUGAAGCGGGAAAAGCUCAAAUUUAAAAUCUGGCGGCUUUGGUCGUCCGAGUUGUAAUCUAGAGAAGUGUCUUCCGCGCUGGACCGUGUAUAAGUCUCUUGGAACAGAGCGUCAUAGAGGGUGAGAAUCCCGUCUUUGACACGGACUACCAGUGCUUUGUGAUGCGCUCUCAAAGAGUCGAGUUGUUUGGGAAUGCAGCUCAAAAUGGGUGGUAAAUUCCAUCUAAAGCUAAAUAUUGGCGAGAGACCGAUAGCGAACAAGUACCGUGAGGGAAAGAUGAAAAGCACUUUGGAAAGAGAGUUAAACAGUACGUGAAAUUGCUGAAAGGGAAACGCUUGAAGUCAGUCGCGUUGUCUAGAACUCAGCCAGGCUUGCUUGGUGCAUUUUCUAGUCAACGGGCCAGCAUCAGUUUUGACUGCGGGAAAAAGGCCAGAGAAAUGUGGCACCUUCGGGUGUGUUAUAGUCUUUGGUUGCAUACCGUGRUUGGGACUGAGGCUCUCAGCACGCGCAAGCUGUGCUUAGGAUGCUGGCGUAAUGGCUUUAAACGACCCGUCUUGAAACACGGACCAAGGAGUCUAACAAACCUGCGAGUGUUUGGGUGGUAAACCCGAGCGCGAAAUGAAAGUGAAAGUUGGGAUCCCUGUCGUGGGGAGCACCGACGCCCGGACCAGACCUUCUGUGACGGAUCUGCGGUAGAGCAUGUUUGUUGGGACCCGAAAGAUGGUGAACUAUGCCUGAAUAGGGUGAAGCCAGAGGAAACUCUGGUGGAGGCUCGUAGCGAUUCUGACGUGCAAAUCGAUCGUCAAAUUUGGGUAUAGGGGCGAAAGACUAAUCGAACCAUCUAGUAGCUGGUUCCUGCCGA